rnacentral:lncRNA from 1 species
CCAGUCAGAGUACAAGCUUCCGGUUUGCUUCUCAACAUUGUCGAUGAGAAUGCUGUAAGUAGCAUCUGGACGGAGGAUGAAUGUGUACACAUGGGUGAGCUGGUCAGUUUCACAUGGAACAUCCUUCUUGAUCAGAUGGUUGGCUUCAUUGUAGGUGAGGAUGGCAUGAACUUUUUUGGUGCUGUAGCCACAGAUAUCCGGACCAAACAUGAUACUGCAGGUAAAAGCAGGUAGGUGUUAUUUUGAUAAAUUGAUAUCAGUAGAAAAGGUUGAGAUGAUUAGAGUGAGAAAAGACAGGAUAUAUACCUGUAUGGGGUGUCUCCACCAAAUUUCUUCUGGUCAACAUCACCACUGAGCAGCUUCAUGUAGCCACCACCACAGUCAAGCUUUUGCUCGUGCUUGACUGAGAAUUGGAAGACUAAGGUUUUGUCCUUGUUACUGAAUUCAGGGAACUCAGCUGAAAUGGCGUAGAAUCUGUAGUCCUCACUGGUCUGGAUACCUGCAUGGCAAUGGUAAUUACAAACAAAGCAUUAACAAAACUGGGAAUAUGUCAGGAAACAAUUUUCCAUGAGUCUCUGACUAGCUCUGAAGGAUGAAUCAUACCUUUAUCGUUACUGUCACCAGACCAGUUUCCUGCAGUGUGUUUCCACUCCCCAGCAGUGUUAUCAUCCUUCUUCCACUCAGAUUUGACCCAUCUGCUCUCCCAUCCAUCUUCAGAAAUGGAAAGAACAAAGGUAACAAAGUAAGACAGGCAUCAGAAUAGAAGAAUGACAAGAUUAUAAUACGAACAACAAGACAUUUCCAACACAAGAUACACGAACUGUUCAACCCAGAUAUUGGUUAGAAAAUUGGACCAAACUUCAAAUAAGAAAAAGUGUACUAAACAAGCUCAUGAGCAUGCCUCGUUAAACAAAUCUCCCAUUUAAGACUGCAAAUGAUACUAGCAUUUCCCUGAUGAUAAAAUACUGUUAAGUCUAAGCAGAAAACUAGCAAUGAUUGUACCGAUGACUUAGAUUGAAACUAGCAUCCUAGUGUCGAACUAUCAUCUCAGAGCUUAUCAUGAUCUCCGAAACAUCUCGACGAAAAGUAUAAAUCAACAAUAGUUAGCGGCCAUUUCCUAGAUCUCCAAUUAGAUUUCCGAAUUCACAAACCCCAGACAAACCAAAAUCAACAAAUCCAUAGAUCCAUAAGAAUCAUGAUCCAACAUUUGAAAAGUGAUCUACUUAUAGAGAGAGUGAUGUAGAAAGUAGAUACCAUCAAAGCGUUCCUCGAAGAUAACUGUUGCGGAGGCGAUCGCGAUGAGACCGAGAAGAAUCAAAGAGACGAGGCUAGGGAUUAAUUUCGCCAUUGCUAAAAACUCAGAUCGGAGAUUCCCCGAGAUCAGAUGAUGAUGUACAAGAAGAUCCGGAGUUUUAUAUAUACCGCGAGGAGCUCGUCAGUGAACUCAGCUCUCAUGGAUAUUUAGCCUUUUGCUACGUCGUUUUAAUCUGCAGCCACAUAUACCAAUCAGUGACAUGCACGUCAUUUACAUUUGUCAUUAGGAAUGACAUGGCACUGCGAUAUUGGAUGAAACGGGAGAAAGUUUAACACGUGUUAAAUCUAUUAUUUAAGUGUGCUUCAAGUGGAUAAAUAGAAUGAAUGAUUAACAAAGUUUAUGUCAUCUUUGCAUGUAGUUUGCCCAAAAAAAAAGAAUGCUGCAUGUUCUUGCUAUUCGUUAAUCCAUUUAGGGAUUCUUGUUCUCUAAGUAUAUGAUUUAAGCUCUCCAUUGAAUGAAUACACAUUUUUGUCAUUGUCAUGUCGAUGAACGAGUCAGCUAAAAUGAAAAAGAAAUUAGCACUCAGAUGAAAGGUCAAUGAAGAUUGAGGUCCUGAUUACGACGUUACUUAUGUUAAUUGAGAAUCUCAGCGAUUAUAUGAACUUAGUUGACUGUAUUGCUUGAUCGACAAUGGAGAUGCAAUGGAAUUUUAAAAGGGUCGAGCAGUUCAAGUUCACCACAAUCUGAUUUUUUAGCGGAUUUUGGCUUAACAGAGAAACAAGAGUGGAGAGAUGCAACAGCAAAACUUCUUCAUGGGUUUUUUUCAGUCUAAAAGGAGCAUCUGACAGUCAUUGUAUUCUGCUUUAAAUUUUGCUAAAAAACUUGUUUCUAUCUCCGACAAACUAGAUACUAAAAUACUUCAAAAGAAAGGAUAAAACAAUAAAGACUAGAAAACUUUGGUCUUUAGAUCUUCAACAUCCUUCGCUUACAGCUCAUCCUGCAAAACCAAAUCAUCCAACGUAGCCAACUCAAUUAAAACAACAUAAUUAUAGAGUGAGUGGAAAUUUUAGCGUGACAUUGUGGAAAGCUUACAUGAGCGGCGGCGUCUUUCUCAGCUGUUUCAUCACUAUCUUCUGAUUUGCUCUCCUCUGCCUUAGAUUCAGAAUCGGAAUCAUCUCCUUCAUCAUCCUCUGGUUCUUCGUCAGCCUGGAAUAUAAAUCACAAAUAUAGUAUCAGAACCUUGACAGAAGCAGAGAAGACUAUCAAUCUUUGAUCAAUCACAAGUGCUUACAUCAGAUUCCGCAGGUGCGUCCUUGGAUUCCUGUAUCAGCACAGAACAAACAAACCAAAAAAAUUAUGGAGUCUCAGAUCAACAAGGCCUUUUUGUUCUAGAGAAUAUUAUGAAUUGUGAUAACUAAUUAGGAGAGAUAUUUGGUUGAGAAAGUGGUACCUCUUCCUCUUUCUUCUUCUCUGCCUCAUCGAAAGCUGCUUUCUCCGCCUGCAAUGUGAUAUAAGAUCGAUGUUUAGAUCAGUAACCACAAUCCAAGAGUUGUAUUGAUGGAAAUGUGUAUUCUAAAGACGUACAUCCUUGAGCUUUCCCCAGGUUUCAUCUGCCAACUUCUUCGCGUAGUCUGGGUCAUCGCAGAUCAAGACAUUGUCGAACAAUGAUCCUGAUUUCACCUGAAUGAGUGAUAGAUAUUUAGAUGCAAGUCAUGGGACCAGAGCAGAACUUGGAAGAUAAAAGGUCAUUCACAGUGACAAGAUUUAUUUACCUGCCACAAUUCGAGUCCAACGUACUUCAGCUUGGGGAAGACAUAAAGCUCUGGGUCAUCCUUGAAGUCUGUGUGAAAAGUCAGUUUAAAUUAGGCACGGUAAUUGUUGGAUAUUAUGAAUCGGAGAGAUAGAUUUUCAUGCAAAUUUAUGCAAGCAAACAAAAUCAGAUGUUUAGUACUACAGUCAAAUCCAUACAAACAUGUUACUGAAUGUGUCCAAUUGGUGUGACCCUGGGUUUAAUAAUAGAGAAGACUAAAAAAAUGGGUUACAUACAUGUUUCUAUUUUAAUUGGUUAGACAACCAAACACAGAAACACCUUUCAACCAUAUUGAAGUAAGGAAUUACUUCAGCAUUUGAGUUUAUAGGAACCCUUAGAUAGCCAUCAACUUAGUAAAAAAAACAAUCUAAAUUGUAAGAGAUUUCUAGGCAUACCAAAGGCCAUCAAACUACAAUUAACAGAAGUAGAACAACAAAUUACAUGUAUAAUAUGCAACAUGAAAAAUAUGGCCACGGAGAGUAGUAAUUUACCAGGGUUAUCGAUCAAUGGAGCCUUCCACUUGCCCUUGUAGUUGGGGUUCUUGAUUUGCUACAGAAAUAUAUGAUAAACCUUGAGAUGAAGAAAAACGUUGACGAGGAUUUAGAUAUUUUCUGAGAGCAAGAUUGACAAACCUUAGGCUUCCAUUCACCCAUGUACUCAGGGUUGGGGAUGGUUGGGGCAGUCCACUCACCAUCUUCUUCAUCAUCCCAGUCCUCAGGCUAGGAGAAAGGAGUUAAAGAAAAGACAGUAAACACAGCAAGAUAUUUUUGAUUUUGAAUCAGUUCAUCAGUUAUGGUCAACGUAGGUACCUUCUUCGAGUCUGUGUCUGGGAUCUCCUUUGGGAUAUCAUCGUAUCCAUCAGGUUUCUUGUCUUCAGGGUCAGGAAUAUAUUCUUGCUCGUCCCAGUCCUCAGGCUGUAAAAAAAUAGAACCAAUUGGUAUGAUUGAUAGUAUGUAUAAUCAACCGAAUUGAUCAGAGACUCAGAUUGCAUGAACUUUGAUGAUGUUGGUUCGAGUUUGCUCCAUAAUUAAUGUAUAACUAGAUGGCUCUCAAUUUAGUCCGGUUGUUCAUAAGUAAAUAAUACCUUCUUGGCGCUGGGGUCCUUGAUUUUCUUGGGUGGGAGAAGAUCCCAGUCAGAGUACAAGCUUCCAGUUUGCUUCUCAACAUUGUCGAUGAGAAUGCUGUAAGUAGCAUCUGGACGGAGGAUAAAUGUGUACACAUGGGUGAGCUGGUCAGUUUCACAUGGAACAUCCUUCUUGAUCAGAUGGUUGGCUUCAUUGUAGGUAAGGAUAGCAUGAACUUUCUUUGUGCUGUAGCCACAGAUAUCGGGACCAAACAUGAUACU